CACCGUUAUAGUGCAAUUACUGUAUUGUUUAGUGUUGUGUAGUGGCUUUGCUGGCAUGCACCCCACUUGUUUAUUUUUGCCCCACCAAGAUUUACAUGUUAAAAUCGCCACUGCUUAUACCUGUAUAUUGACAUCACCAUUGACUUUAUCUUGGUUGCUUGUUUGGUAGACCUCAAAUAAACGUAAUGUACAGUACAAAAAAGGAAGUCAUUUGUGUUGCUUGCCACAAAGCAGUAUCUGUUUAAUAUAUACAUUUACAAUAUGGUACAAUUUAUCUCAAUAAAAAUAAUGAGUAAAAAUAGUAUUCCAUUUGAAAUGAUCUUCUCUCGUACCCACUCCCUACCCCAGUCUGUCAUCUAUACAGAGUAUUCAGUAUGGUCAUUGUUACCGAAGAUUUUCUAAGUACUUCCUUCAAUUAAUACUUUCUCAUACAGCGUUCAAGCCAAGGCCAUAAAUUAAUUCUACAGCUAUCAAUGGUCCUAUUCAAUCAAAACCGUUAUGGGAUAUCUAGGGCAAUGCUAAUAUCCCUUUCAUAUAUAGACAAAAAUCACACUAUUUUACCAUGCCAGCUUUUUAUACAGUACAAGCUUUUUUUUGUCAAUCUGAAAGAGGUAAGGGUUAAAAAAAAACAUGGUAAUUUAAAACCCACCUAAAGACCUAGUCAUGAUUCCUGUAUUUUCACAGACCCUGUAACCAAAAUACAGCUAUCAGGUCUGUUAACAGUACGGUUCUCCGCUUCUUUGCAGGUAAAUUAAUUAACACUUCCAUUGUUUAACGGCACCCCCCUACCCUCCCAAUUUGUCAGUUACCCACUGAUAUGUAUAAAAGGGCAUACCUGCAAAUAAGUUGUAAAUAAGGGGCUGUUUGAAACAUUGCCUUAUCUUUUUUACAGGUAACAUACCAUAUCUUGUCUGAAAUGUACAUAAGAAAGAUUAUUUUGACUUAUUUGUUGUUUCAUUGUUUUAUAUUGCAGAGCUAUAAUUUGUUUUAUGUGUUACUCUGGAAACUUGGCUACAGAUUAAAUACAACUCUUAGUUUUCAACAGUUGCCACUGGUCUUCAAAACAUUCAGUUCAUCUUUCUUACCUUCUUUCACUCUCUCGUUUUGUUCUUCCACAGUCUCCUGUCUUUCUCUGCAGGAUCUCACAGCGCAGAAUGGAAUCACUCCUCUCUCUCUCUCUCUUCCCUUGGUUGUCUGAUCAAUUUCUUUUGUAGGAAAUUGUCC
rnacentral:lncRNA from 1 species